CCUACGGGAGGCAGCAGUGGGGGAUAUUGCACAAUGGGGGGAACCCUGAUGCAGCGACGCCGCGUGGGUGAAGAAGCGCCUCGGCGCGUAAAGCCCUGUCAGCAGGGAAGAAAAUGACGGUACCUGAAGAAGAAGCCCCGGCUAACUACGUGCCAGCAGCCGCGGUAAUACGUAGGGGGCAAGCGUUAUCCGGAUUUACUGGGUGUAAAGGGGGCGCAGACGGCGAUGCAAGCCAGGCGUGAAAGCCCGGGGACCAACCCCGGGACUGCUCUUGGAACUGCGUGGCUGGAGUGCAGGAGGGGCAGGCGAAAUUCCUGGUGUAGCGGUGAAAUGCGUAGAUAUCAGGAGGAACACCGGUGGCGAAGGCGGCCUGCUGGACUGCAACUGACGUUGAGGCCCGAAAGCGUGGGGAGCAAACAGGAUUAGAUACCCCAGUAGUC
rnacentral:rRNA from 1 species